UCAUGCUGAAAGGCGCAGCCUUUGCACAAACACCCAUCGCCUGCUCGGCUUUGUCUCUCCAUUUGAGAGCCUGUGAAGUUCUUGUUUUGCAGAAAAAGGAAGAAUGAUUCUGAUGUAACAACAGGACUCUGGGAGCUGGAGAUUCAUGGGGGAAGAAUAAGCAAAUAGCAAGUAGCUCUGGAUAAAGUGGUGGGAACACGUCCUCCCCUGUGCACUGAGAGCAGCACAACCAACCUGCAGUUAAACAUUGACGAGUUGCCUCCUGACAGUGGAUUUCCUGGAAUCCUUUCAGCUAAGGUCAUCCUUUCAGAUGUGCUACAGAGCUGAUUUGAACACCCACUGGGAAAGUGACUGGAUCAGCAGCUCUUUGAACGUAGAAGUGGCCUUCAAGCGCUUUGCUCUCAGCUCUCACAGGGGGCCAUCGGAAAGAACGCGAGAGGAAUGAAAUCUGUUAUUUUGGUGGCUGCAUCACCCUACAAGGGAUGGUGGGCAAAGGGAAACCCACGGACCUCUCCUCUGCUCACCAAUACCGAAUCUCCUGUCUCAGUUCCAGUAGGUUUGUGUGAUGAAGACUCAACCAGGGCCCAACGUGACAUCAUUCAACCCCUCUUUCAGCAGUGGCACCUCUAUUUCUCACUCGGUACUCAAGAUGCCCAGCAGUUCCUCCACCUUCACACGCUGUAUCUCAAGGCUUUAUGGCACUCCAUUUUUGAGCCAAGAGGUUUUGACGCCACAGAAGACAUCACCUCCUGCCUGAGGCCAGAUUUUGACCAUAAAAGGGAAGGAUGGAAUGUUGGGCGACAGCCCCGAUUGGCUGAGCACCUUCUCGUGAUGGUUUCGGGGGAAAUAACCAGGUCGGAGUCAUUUUCCUCUCCCCUCCCGUCCCGAGUCAAGAAUGAAAACAAUGCGACCAAACCGUGUGGUUCACCAUUGAAACCAAGGCAGGACUUUUUGUGUCUGUGCCUCAUACUGUUCUUGGGUCCACCUGCAUGAAACCGAGCCCUCGCUUCUGUGUGUCCCAUCCAACAUCUCUGUGGCCACCGUUGGUUGAUGCUAUCUUGGAGGUGAAUGGGAGUGAUUCGGUGGCCACGUUGGCCAGGAACCCACAACUGCCUCCUGCCAACCUGACAGCCUUCUGUUGGGAGAGCACAAGAACCUCCUUCUUGUGGUUGCGUAUCCUGUAUCCAAAACCUGGCAGAACAAAGUGCCUUUGUGCUUGGACACCCCUCCCACCCAGCUGCAUUGUGGCUGCCCUCAUUAGAUCAUUUCUGCGGCUAAAAUAGGACUUCACUCUCGUGACUCAUUUGCCUAAAAUGUGCCACCAGCACUGACUUACAACCUUUAAUAAAAAUGAUAAAGAAGCUGAGAGAGUUUCCUGGAAACCUUGUCAGCCUUGAGUUGGGAGCAGAUGUUGGCAGCAAGCAAAGUAUUUUUAAGCUCUAUAAAGGCAUUUUCCUGUUUAAUGAUUACCCUGAGAAAUCUCAAGGCUGAAUCAGAGUGUUUGUGAUCAGCUUCACCCUGCUGGGAAAGCCGCACCCAGAGAAAUUCUCCUCUCCUCACCUUCAGCCAGUGAGAACAAGCUGGUGGUGUGGGUAACACUGGCCCUGAAGCCAGAAGCUGCUCCCAGUCGUCACCAACUUCUUCCUGUUUGCCCUCCAUUUGUGGCAGCUCCGGUGCCAGUCCUAGCAGGCGCUGAGCAAGCCCUGGUUAAGAAGAAAUUCUUCUAUUUGCUGCGUUCACAAGGCUUUGAGAAUAGUCUUUUUCCUACAGAAACUCUUCUCAGCCUCCUGCCUGCAGGAAUCCCUUUUGCAAGGGAAAACGUUCUCAGUGCUGGUUGUUGAGGCUCAUUGAAUGAGUUGUUGAGGCUCAUUGAAGCCUCUUCGGUACUCAGUGCAAAUCUUCUCCCCU